rnacentral:lncRNA from 1 species
GAGGAGAGUCCAGUGAGUGACCCAGACGCCCCAGCCAGGAAGAGCAUGAGGUGCGAAGGGGGCUUCCCAGAUGGAGAGAAACAGAUGGUCCCAGAGUGGCUUGGAGACAGGUGCAACAUCAGUGUUGGGGGAGGACAUGGAGCGGAGCGUUCAGGGCUAUCAGGAGGGAGCCCCGUGGCCACGGUGCAAGAUCUAGGCAGGCGGGACAGACAUGGUCAGGAUGCUGGGGACACAGCAUGGGGAAUCCAGCACACAGGACACCAUCCAGGAAAGCAAAGCUGCAGCCUGAGAUCUCCUUCCACCAACUCCUGGCAUGGCCAGAAAGUUAGCCAGAAACACCAGAAAGUGCCAGGCAGCUAGGAAGCAUGGGGAGAGCCCCCUGAAGCUGCGUGUGUAGUGCCUGCUUCCGCUGCCAUCCCAGAAAUGGACGAGCUUCACCCUGAGAACCCAGCCACACCACUGGGACACAUCCUGACAGUGACAUGCACACUCUUCCCUGGCCCCAGCCUGGAGAGGAGCCUCCUGAAGACACCAGCCUUUGCUCCUUCUCCCAGUGGGAGUGGAGAGAACUGACUGCUGGAGUGGAGACAGUCAAGGCUGUCCUUCUGAGGGAGCACAGCACAGGGUCUGGUGUCCCAGGGAGGCAAUCUGAAAUUCAAGCCAGGCCUCCCCAGCGGAGAGGACACACCCCUCACCAUGCAGAGUGACGUUUAGUAAACUCUCAAAAGAGAGCACAGAGCCCCAC